rnacentral:rRNA from 1 species
GGAAACUGGGGGAACUUGAGUGCAGAAGAGGAUAGUGGAAUUCCAAGUGUAGCGGUGAAAUGCGUAGAGAUUUGGAGGAACACCAGUGGCGAAGGCGACUGUCUGGUCUGUAACUGACACUGAGGCGCGAAAGCGUGGGGAGCAAACAGGAUUAGAUACCCCUGGUAGUCCACGCCGUAAACGAUGAGUGCUAAGUGUUGGGGGGUUUCCGCCCCUCAGUGCUGCAGCUAACGCAUUAAGCACUCCGCCUGGGGAGUACGGUCGCAAGACUGAAACUCAAAGGAAUUGACGGGGGCCCGCACAAGCGGUGGAGCAUGUGGUUUAAUUCGAAGCAACGCGAAGAACCUUACCAGGUCUUGACAUCCCAUUGACCACUGUAGAGAUACAGUUUUCCCUUCGGGGACAACGGUGACAGGUGGUGCAUGGUUGUCGUCAGCUCGUGUCGUGAGAUGUUGGGUUAAGUCCCGCAACGAGCGCAACCCUUGUUCUUAGUUGCCAUCAUUUAGUUGGGCACUCUAAGGAGACUGCCGGUGAUAAACCGGAGGAAGGUGGGGAUGACGUCAAAUCAUCAUGCCCCUUAUGACCUGGGCUACACACGUGCUACAAUGGACGAUACAAACGGUUGCCAACC